CUAAACUCCAUGUUGAUGCGAUGUUCGAGCACCCACACAACAAAUCCAGUGUAGAAGAAAGCAGCCAAGCUCCCCAACCACAAAUCAAAGGUCAGUGGCUUCAAAAAUAUCCAUGCAUUCUUGUUGAUGCUGUCCUUGACUGGUACCAGCAUUGCAAUGCCUGAUUCAGUGUAAGGUAAUGUAAAGUCCACAUAGCGAGAUCGGUUUUCUCUAAUUGUUACAUCCCCUACCACAGAGUCAUAUUUCUGCUGACAGAGAUCAAUUAGUAUAAAUCGUAUGCUUGGAGAUGAUGAAAUAAUGCUGGAAAUGGUAAACUAAAAACCAUUUAAGCGACAAAAAUACUCAAAAAGACAUCAUGAUAGUAUAAAUACAUCAAAUUAAGCUUCAAACAUUCUUAAGAAAGCCGUUUCAUUAUACAAGAUCUCAGAUUUGAAGUUAACCUGCAAACACUUCUAGACAUGAUGAUGCAACAGGUUUAGCUUUUUCAAAUGUAACUCAAGUUUGAUACAUUAAAUAUUUCCAGAAGAAGUUUGAUCAUGAUCAAUAAUAUCUAGGUAGUUUUUAUGAUUUAGAUAGGAAUUGGUCUUUGACUCGUAUAGUCAUCUAAGGUUAUACUAGAUAAACAGAAAAGAUCACUUCAUUAUCUAUCUUGUAGUUCAGUAUCACAACUAGUACUUGCCUGGAAAUAGACCUGAUCCACAAGGUCAUCGUAUGUCCCUGCACACAGUCCUUUUUCAUUCUCGAAAGGGAUGUACUCAUGUGGAAGAGCAUAAGGCAAUGUCUGCAAUGCAGCUUCGAAGACAUCAAUGCAGAACCCACUUACCGUGAUCGCAUUGGUGAUGGGAUUCCUUUCCACCUUCACAAAUUCAUCAGUUUCAUCCAACAAAGGAACACCAAUCCUUAACUUCUUCCCACUUAAUGGCAUCUCCCAACCCUUUGGAACAACAGUUGAUUCUCCUGGCCAGAUCACUGGAUUCAUAUCAGUCAUCAAGGCUGAAUACUCUUUAGUUCUGUUCUUUUUAAGUUGUUUUAUAAUUCCAUGCUGGGGUGUCCAGAACCCAAUUUCUCUCCCUCCUUUACCAACCACAUUGAUAAUCUGAAAUGUGGAGGACUGCAACUGCCCAUCUGCAAAAAGAAAUUCCCCACUUAUACCUCUGAAUCUGCUUUCAGAUAUCAAUUUUAGCAGUAGAGGACCAGCAAUAGACACCCCCAACCUGUCUGAUCCUGUUGAGUUACCGGUAUUUGCUAGCUUCAGAAAGCUAGAAUUUAUGCCCUUAACAUUUUCUGCUGCCAUCGCCACAGUCCAUACUGUAUCAUAAGCCCACAAGGCAAAGAUCCCAGGUUCAGCAGGCUGAUCAUCAGGGUUCUCCUGCUGAAACCUCCUCCUCCAUCUCCUGGCAAAAUGAUCGAGCUUUCUAGACUUGGGAACAUAUAGUCUUACACCAAUUGUACCUUGCAUUGAUGCAAUGAUAGAUGGGUCAAGUGACUCAACAAGACUUGUUAGUCCAUCGGUCAUGAUCCAUGCAUAUCCUUGGCUCAUCAAACCGGCCUCAUUGACCUUCCUGAAGAGGCGAGAACCCAUGGGAACUGACAUGUGCACGAUGAAGACCCUGGUUUGCAUGGUCAUCAGUUUGUAGAGUUCUUCAAUUAUUUGGUCAUCAGUUGCCACUAAGGAAAUCACACUGCGGUAGGGGACACGGCAGUCAACCUGUUCAAGGGAAUCGAUGAGGUAUGGUACGAUGCCCCUACCAUAAUCGGAGUCCUCAUAGACAGGAACAACCUCCCUCCAUCCAUAAGCCCUGAUAAUGGAGGAUAUACUAUCCACCUGAACAGCAUCAUCAAAUGCUGCCCGUACAAAAUACGGUGUUAGGGCGGAUGAGAGGGAAGGACUUGUUGCCGUGAAGGAGAUAAUAGGCACAUGAGAUUUGUUGCCGACAUAAGAGACCAGUGCUGCUUGUGAGGAUUUUUGAGGGCCUAUAAUGACCUGCACCUCUAUCUUCUCUAUAAGAUCCAAAGCUGUGUGCAAGCAAAGAAAAUGUAGUUGUCAGUAUAAAACACUGUAACACCAAAUUUGUCGAUCAACAUUUAGAUAUCAGACAAGCAUACAGUACUAAUUUAAUGUUAAAGGAAGAUGCCAAUAUGUAUUGAUGCUUGUGUUGAGGGGGCAGCAAAUAUUUGGAAUGAAAUCAGCAUAGCAACUGAUCUAUUACCUACAAAUUUUACUCAAAUCUCCAACUGACAUGGUGGCCGCUUAUAGAUCAGUUUUAGAUUCAUUCUCAACUUGUAAGGAUUUCAGAAGGGGUUGACAAACUAAACAUUGGAUGUCGUAACCUGCUUUCUUUAUCUUUUCCCAUUCAACAUAGAAUUCUUUGAUUGGCAUUUUCUGUAUCAGAUAGAGACACAGAUCCAUUGAUAAUGUUUCCUGAGAAAAAAAAAUCAGAGAUCAAAUUGUCUGGAGGUGGACUUCUGAUGAUUCUUUUUAAGCUAAAACAUCUAUAUGCCUUUCUGCACAGAAACUGACAUAUUAUAUCUGCUAGCAUCUGGAAAGGUAAAAAUACAACUAAGGUUUAAAAUACCAGUAUGGACACCGGUAGCCUGUCAAGGCUGCUAUUUACUAGUUGUUACUGUACUGGUAUGGUCUGAUACAACAAUAUAAGAUGGGAAGAAUUAUUACCAUGGUACUGGUGUACCAAUACCAGAUUGGACUGGUACAUACAUACUAAGUGAUGUGCUCACUAUACCAAAAAACUCCAAACCAUAUCAAAGAUUCCUGUGAAGUUCAAAUUCUUUGCUUGGUUGCUAUAAAGAAUGUUUACAUGCAAAAUUUAUCAAGGUAGAAGGGCUAUUAAUGUUUAAAGAUUGUCAGUUGUCAACAUCAUUGAAGAGUAAAUAUGAUUUAUUCAUGUGGUGUACUUUUGCCAAACUUGGGUAGAAAGUAUAAAGUUGCAAUUGUGAUUUUAAUGAUCAUCCUCGUAAUUUUUAUGUGUUGUUUAGGAAAUCAAGCUUAGUUGCUAUCUAAAGAGAAUUAGAUUAUUAGAUCAUGAAAGAUUUGGCCUUCCUGUGGUACUGGUUUAUCUGGCUGAAAAGGAGUGAAAGGACCUGUUUAGGAGUCUCAGAGGGUGAAGAGUUAUCUUCUUAUCUGAAAUUAUUCUUUAGUAGGUUUCCUUGUGGAAGGCACUUUCUCAGUUUUUUCUUCCUCAAGAUAAAACAAAGAAUGAAGCCAAAAGUUAUGGUUAGGAAACCCUUUGGAACUAUAUUUUUCUUUAGUAAAUUUCCACCUCAUCUUUUUCUAGAUAAGAAGGCAAGAUUGGUAGAAAAUGGGCUUUCUUCUUUUGUUAAUUGUUCUUGAAUUUUUCUUUCUGUUCUUAUUGUCCUGAACUAGAAAAAAAAAUGGCGAAUAUAAGAAACAGACAUGCUGACAGCUAACACCUUAUUAGACAGAACAAAUUCAUGUCAGACUUAAAGUCUGGUGUGGAGCUUUUAUCUCCAUAUGGCUUCAGAUAUUUGUAGUUCGUAAUGACAAAAAGCAGAUUGAAUGCCAUUUUCUUAUUUCUUUUCAUUUUUUGUUGUUUUUUUUUUUGUUCAGAAAGGUGGUCAAAAAGUAAAGAUGUUCUUCUACUUCUGUAGUAUGUUUGCUUAUCAAUACAUUUCAACGCUCCUUCAACACUGCUACUUAAGCCUCAAAUAGUCUAUCACAUGAAGUCCACAAGCUUCUGCUAACCAUCGAGAUUGAUGGAUGCAUGAAUGUAUCCAUUUCCUUCACACUUAGACUUGGAUUUUGUAUGUUUCUAAGUUUGUGUUAUCUCUCUGUUUCAGAAAUAAUUGCAAAGGCACAAAAAUUCUGAUACUAAUCAGACAACAAAAGAUAACUGGAUAGCUACCUGCAGAAGCCGCCUGCACCACAUCGUUACCCGAAUCUUUGGUGUGGAGAACCAGUCUCGUGGUGUAGUUGCUGUUGAUGGAGUAGAAGUCAUCGAUCGCCAUCGAUAUGCUAGUUUGCCCCAUUUUUCCGACCAAGGUGGUCAGGUCAAGGAUUACUCCAACAUGAAAGGGAUUUUCCAUAAUGUUGCUGCCAUUUCUCUGUGCUGCUGCAAAGAGAAUGAACAUGAACAGGAAGACAAUGACACCAGUAGGUUUCUCCAUUUUGAGCUACAGACUGUUUGCUCAAUGAUUGUGCCGAUUUGCCUUUUAUAAGAUCUCUUAGGAAGCUAAAAGAAGUCAGAUUAUUGCAAGAUAGUUUACUUUGACAAAGUCAGUAUGCCAUUUAUUAUGAUAUGAGAGUACAACAGUUCAGCAUGAAGUCUUCUUCUGCAUGCGAUCUCUGCCGUGAGCAGCCUUUGCCAAGUCUUCCUCAAGACUUCUAACUCAUCUCAUUCCACAACACAAAGUAGCUUCUCAUGUUGUACUUCUCUUCAAGGUCAAGAUUCUUGUUUUGCACACAACUUCCAUGGCUUCUCUCUAAUGCACAUAAAAGCUGCUGGUAACUCAUCUGAAGCUGGUAGUUCAUUCACAAAGCCAUGAAGUAGUUGUGAUUCUUUAAGAUGCUCAAUGGUGGAUACCUUGAUUAAGUCAACCAGAAUCUUUUUUCUAAGAGAAUUAUGCUAUGCUAUGCUAUACAUAUGAACUAAAUAAUACACUCAUGCCUCACUACUACAGGUACAGGGAAGUGGGUGGAAAAAUCUAAGUUCUAAACAAAUAGGAGAGUUGAAAGAUUCAAACAGAUUGAAGGCAUGGGAAGUUUCUCAUAAGCAUACUUCCAAUCGAAAGGAAACAGAGCUUAGGGUACUGUUCAUAAAAGAAUAAUUCCAUAUGCACAUGUAGAGCACAGCAUUGCAAUCUUGGAGGGCAAGAGAUGGAUUAUAAGAGAAAACACAGAAGCUAUAGCAUCUUCCCUCAAUGGCAUUGACUUGCCAUGGAUUUCUGAGAAGCUGAAACAAGUCUAAUCAUAAUAAGAUGGCUUACUUUGUCAAACUCCGAUGUAAUCCAAGCACUAUGAUGAGCUCAGAGUAUAAUAGUUGCCUCGAUGACUUUGAUUAGUAUGAAAGGAAUUGAUUUGGAAAAUGAUGUGCAUCAUCAACAAAAUGCUACUAGGUGGACACCUCAUCUCCAUCAACUCUUCGAGUUCAAGCUCCUGUUGUAGUUUGGUUCAUCUUCUUGAUUGAGCUAUUAUUUUGAUUAUGGCAAAUACCAGAUGACAUUCAUGACAAAUCUUACUUGAUAGAACACAACUCAGUAGC
rnacentral:lncRNA from 1 species